UUGCUUCCUCAGCAAAUAGACUAAAAUUUGAAUGCUGCAGAGAAGAUUAUCAUGGCCCCUGCACAAGGAUGACAAGCAAAUUUGAGAAGCAUUCCAUACUUUU
rnacentral:snRNA from 1 species